GCUGAGUCCGCUUCGGAGUUUCGAUCGGGCUCUGAAACGGGUUAAACUUAGUUAGGUGGCUUCCUGGACAUUGUUGUAGUGAAGGAGAGUGCGUGUCGUGAUAUCCACCUGUCGUAAGUGGGUUGAGCGUGCGUGUGGGCACAUUUGGGCACCCCUGCAGGGUUACAAUCUUAUCGAUAAGCCGCGUCCGCGGUUAUGGACGACUUGGAGCUGUAUGAAUUGACCAUAGACAACUUACACCUGUUGUUUCAAUCAUAAUAACUUGUGUAGUAAGUUAGCACAACUUCAAUAAUAAAUGGUUAAAAGUUGACAACCGUGUGGGUGCCUUUGUAAGUACUUCUUUGCGAAGGGGGAAAGUAUCGGCUGUGUUAUGUUUGCAGAGUAUAGAACUGUUAGUUUUUGCGCUCUCUCAUCUCCUCUGUUUAGACGAAUGUUGUAGAGUGUCUCUAUAGGUUUUUAGUGCUUGCGCGCUGCCGCUUAACCCCACCAUAUUGCCUAUGACGUUCCUCUUGCGUCCUGUAAGUCCCCUGCGUGCCUCAAGUACAAAGGACGACUGGUUGACGAAUGCUUAUACGUCUUGAAGUCUUGUUAAGUACGAACCCGUACUUAUUGCUGCUUCUACGGGAUAUAACCGGGCAGGUAUGAAGAUAUGUUCGAUGAAGACGACGUUAGCAAGGUUACCCUUCCGGCUUGGCCUGGGCAGGGUUAUGGACGCCAUUGGUUAUCUUCAGGACUCUUAGUCCAAUUUGUAUCUUGUCCGUACUCGGAUGUAUUCGCUCUUCUGUAUGAUUUGGAUCUUUGUAUUGUAUAUUUGUAUCUUGCCUCGUUGGAGUCGUUGUUGUAAUAUAUGUAUCUUGUGGGCUCUA